rnacentral:rRNA from 1 species
UACGGGGGGGGCAAGCGUUGUUCGGAAUUACUGGGCGUAAAGGGCUCGUAGGUGGCCAACUAAGUCGGACGUGAAAUCCCUCGGCUUAACCGGGGAACUGCGUCCGAUACUGGUUGGCUUGAGUUUGGGAGAGGGAUGCGGAAUUCCAGGUGUAGAGGUGAAAUUCGUAGAUAUCAGGAGGAACACCAGUGGCGAAGGCGGCUUCCUGGACACCAACUGACGCUGAGACGCGAAAGCGUGGGGAGCAAACAGG